rnacentral:rRNA from 1 species
AGCAGCCGCGGUAAUUCCAGCUCCAAUAGCGUAUAUUAAAGUUGUUGCAGUUAAAAAGCUCGUAGUUGAAUUUCGGGGUUAGUAGGUUGGUCAUGCCUCCGGUAUGUACUGGUCUCACUGAUUCCUCCUUCCUGAUGAACCGUAAUGCCAUUAAUUUGGUGUUGCGGGGAAUUUGGACUGUUACUUUGAAAAAAUUAGAGUGUUUAAAGCAAGCUAACGCUUGAAUACAUUAGCAUGGAAUAAUGAAAUAGGACGUUCGAUCCUAUUUUGUUGGUUUCUAGGAUUGACGUAAUGAUUAAUAGGGAUAGUUGGGGGCAUUAGUAUUCAAUUGUCAGAGGUGAAAUUCUUGGAUUUAUUGAAGACUAACUACUGCGAAAGCAUUUGCCAAGGAUGUUUUCAUUAAUCAAGAACGAAAGUUAGGGGAUCGAAGACGAUCAGAUACCGUCGUAG